CUUUCCUCUGCACACAGUUUUCUUUGUUGUUAGGUUCCUAGGCAAGGUAGUUUGAGCUGGCAGUCAGUAACUUAGAAUUUCUACACAAUUGCUCCUUUGAAACAACUUUUUAAUUAAAAAGUUAGAUCCCCAAGAUGCACUGAGUACCUAGUUAGCCUGUGGUUCCAUUAUGAGCCUAGAGAAAGAUGUCCUGCUUGUUGGUUUGCUUUCUUAUGCAGUUCGAAGGCCAGACAGGGAACACCAGGAAGCAACGGUGGCUGAAAUGAAGAGUGAUGGGUGGGUGGAGGUGUUUCCGGUGAGAUGUGUUUGACCCCGAAGACCACAGGGUUUGCAGGCUGCAGAUGGGCACGCAGUGGGGACGGCUAGUAACCUAGCUGUUCAGGUGUGGACAAAGGAGGGGCAGGUUAUCCCAACCAUCUAUGGGGUGAUGUCUGAAGGCAAGACUCACCUUGUCCUUGCUGUGGACUUAAUGAGGCAACUGGAUGGACCCACGGCUGGAACAAAAGUCCUUCAUUUCCCAGAAGAGAUGGAAAAUAAUGAUUCAACUUUGUUUCUAGUAGGCAUAUCCCGUUUAGGACUAUUUUCUGGGGGGAGGGGCAGGUGGGUUAUUAGCAUUAUUACAGAGAAUGUUAAAGAACGUUUCUGCUUUGUCUCCAUGUUUAAUUUCCUUUAACCAGCAAAAUAGAUACAUUUCAUGGUGACAGUUAUUGGCAGAAUGGUUGAGUGUGGGCUCAGAACUUGGUCAGACUUUCCUCCAGAUCACAGCCUGCUUCCACCACUUAUUAGCUCUGUGGUCUCGGGCACGUUCCUUCACCUCUUUGAGCCUCAGUUUAUGCAUCUGCAAAACGGGUGUGAUAACGCCUUCCUUAUAGGGUUGAUGUGAACCAUUAAGUGCAAUAACCUAAGCUCUGUGCCUGGCAUGUAGUAAGGGUCCUUUAAAUGUUAGCUGCUAUUAUUGACGUUCUGAUUAUUAUCACUAUUGUUAGAGUUGAAAGUGGCAUAGAGAUAGAGGUCAUUAGGUCUAACUUGAUUAUGUCAGAGAUGAAGAAACUGAUUCCCGGAGCUCGCACAUUCCUCGCCACGGUCCCCUGGCUGGUUCCCGGUAGAAGCAGCCAGUGCAGCUUCUGGAGCUCUUUCUUCAAACUCAUCACUGGCUGGUACGUUCAAGGUUGCAAUCAUUCUUGUCUCCCUGCCGGGUGGAACGUUGGUGUGGCGUUCCCUGCAGAGUUUAAAAGGAAGGGAAGAAGAGUUUACAAGCCCCGUGGGGCCAGGGACCACGUCUAUCUUGGUCUCCUCCAUAGCCAUAGUUCUCACUACAAUGUCCAGCAUUUAGUGAUGUAAUAUUUAUUAAACACAGGUGCCUUACCCAGCAAGGAGAGGACUACAAACAUGUCACAGAGUAUCAAGAAGGGGCCCGGGCGAGUGUUCCGGAUUACCACAAAGACCUCAGUGUGCCGUGAGUUAAGAUGGAGGCUGCAUUGUCAACAUUUGCAACAGAUGGAAGAGAGCUUGUGUGGCCAACAGGCCGGAGGCACACGGCACAGGGAGCCGGGCUCUGCCAUCGAUUCGUCGUGUCUGUUAGGAGCGGCCUUCUCCCCCUCCGGCUGAUUUCGGGCAUGUGGGAAUACUGCAAGGCAUGGCCAGACCUUCUGAUUUUAAAAGGUAAGA